ensembl:lncRNA
GGAUUAACCAGGUGGACCCAAUGUAAUCUCAGGUUCCUUAAAUGUAGAAAAGGAAGGCAGAAGACUCAGUAGCAGAGUCAUGCAGUGUGAGAAAGAGUCAGCUGGAUAUUGCUGUCUGGGAGAUAGAAGAGAGCCACAAACAAAGGAAUGCAGGUGGUCUCUCGAAACUGCACAGGGCAUGAAAAUGGAUCCUCCCCUGGAGCCUCCAGGGAUAGAAAUCAGUGACACCUUGAGACCCAGUUUGGACUUCUGACCUCCAGAACUGCAACGUGAUACAUUUGCAUUGGUGUGAGCCACUAAUUUUGAGUUCUGGAGCCACAACUCAGAUAGGAUUCAAUUCAUUAUCGAACCCCUGGGCCUCUCAUCCAGGACCCCAGAGACUUUGUCUUCACUCAUGACUGAUCAGGUAACCAUUGAUGAGUCUGACUUCUGAUCCAGUCCUUCAGACAUCCAACCAUGAAAGCAUGAUUUGUUUUUUGGAGCCCUGAGUGUUCAAUGGAACUAGCUCAGAGACAACUCUGCAGAACUAUGGGCAGUGGGAGAAGCUGAGUUAUGGGAUUUCUACUGGAAUUACAAACAGCCAGUUCUGCUGCUAUCUAUAUAUGGAGAUUCAUCUAUUUCUAUUUCUAUCUAUGUAUGGAGAUUCAUCUAUAUAUAUAUCUUUAAAUGGAGAUUCAUCUAUUUCUAUCAUUUGAAUCACAUUUAUUUUGAAGAAAUGUUUCUGUGGCCAAUAUGGUUUGAAAAUGGUGGCAUAAAGCCAUGCUGCCAGGACCUUUCUCAUGGAAUACAUGUUGAUGUCGGAUAGCAACUGUGGAAAGUUAAGUAUGUAAAAUGUAUUCAAUACAUUUUGAGCUGAGAAGGACCAAGAAAUUAGCUAGUCCAACUUCUUCCUUUUAAAGAUAGGAGAAUUGAGUCACAGAAAAGAAAGUAAUUUACCUAAGGUCAAGGACUGGUUCAGUAUAGAAUUGUAAUUAUUAAACCCUCAGGAUGCAUUUAUUUCACUAUCUUAUUUUAAGGAUACUUUAAGAAAUCACCUAAUGAAAUUUGUCAUUAUAGCGUCUGUAGGGGUAUUUUGGAGGUCGUUGUUCACUACAUAUCACUUUAUUCUUUUUAUGAGUGAGCACAAAAGAUAUUGAACUUCAGUCAGUCAAAAAAUCAGUACUGAGUGGCUUUUGUGUUUGUUUUGCUUUUUUAAUUAACAUCAAAUGUCUAAGUGAUUGAAUUUCCUUCUUUGGCCAGCUUCUAGAACUAUCACUAACAAACUUGAUGCUAUGGACUGAAUGUUUGUGUCCCACCUCACAUUCAUUUGUUGACAACCUAAUCUCUAAUGUGAUAGUAUUUGGAGGUGGGACCUUUGGGCGGUAACUAGGGUGAGAUUAGGUCAUGAAGGUAGGGAUCUCAUGAUGGAAUUAAUGCCCUUAUAAAAGGAGAGACAGGAGAUGAGAGCUUUCUCUGUCUCCAUUUGCUCACACCAAGGAAAGGCCAUGGGAACACACAGGGCAAAAGCAGUUGGCUAGGAGUCAGGAAAAGAGCCCUCACCAAGAACGAAAUGUGCCGACACAUUGAUCUUGGACUCUCCAGCUUCUAACCUGAGAGAAAUAAAUGAAUGUUGUUUAAGGCACACAGUUUGUGAUAUUUUGUUAAAGCAACCUGAGCUAAGGCACUUAAAAUAUUUCCAUAUAAAGGAUGAAGAAUUUCAGUUUAUAUCCUCUAGACCAAGCUUAUUCCUGCUUGUUAUUAUUGUUUGGUACUUUUCAACUGCUUUAAUUUAUUCACUUUUAAUUUUUAGCCUGAUAUACAUUUUGGUAAGCUGUCACAGUUCAUUUGAACUGAAUCUAGACAUUAAGACAGCGACCAUACUCCGUGAAUAUCUGUGUGUAAUUGUAUCCUUAUCUCACUUGUAUACAAUUAUUUCUCUAGUUUCUAACAUAGCGUCUUGUACAUUACAGACAUCCAAUAAAUAUUGAUUGAGUACAUUAAGAAA